rnacentral:rRNA from 1 species
GUCUACGGCCAUACCACCCUGAACGUGCCCAGUCUCGUCUGAUCUUGGAAGCUAAGCAGGUUGGGCCUGGUUUGUACUUGGAUGGGAGACCGCCUUGGAAUACCAGGUGCUGUAGGCU